UACGAAGGGACCUAGCGUAGUUCGGAAUUACUGGGCUUAAAGAGUUCGUAGGUGGUUGAAAAAGUUGGUGGUGAAAUCCCAGAGCUUAACUCUGGAACUGCCAUCAAAACUUUUCAGCUAGAGUAUGAUAGAGGAAAGCAGAAUUUCUAGUGUAGAGGUGAAAUUCGUAGAUAUUAGAAAGAAUACCAAUUGCGAAGGCAGCUUUCUGGAUCAUUACUGACACUGAGGAACGAAAGCAUGGGUAGCGAAGAGGAUUAGAUACCCUCGUAGUCCAUGCCGUAAACGAUGUGUGUUAGACGUUGGAAAUUUAUUUUCAGUGUCGCAGCGAAAGCGAUAAACACACCGCCUGGGGAGUACGACCGCAAGGUUAAAACUCAAAUGAAUUGACGGGGACCCGCACAAGUAGUGGAGCAUGUGGUUUAAUUCGAAGAUACGCGCAGAACCUUACCAACACUUGACAUGUUCGUCGCGACUCUAAGAGAUUAGAGUUUUCGGUUCGGCCGGACGAAACACAGGUGCUGCAUGGCUGUCGUCAGCUCGUGUCGUGAGAUGUUGGGUUAAGUCCCGCAACGAGCGCAACCCUCACUUUUAGUUGCCAUCAUUAAGUUGGGCACUCUGAAAGAACUGCCAGUGAUAAGCUGGAGGAAGGUGGGGAUGACGUCAAGUCCUCAUGGCCCUUACGUGUUGGGCUACACACGUGCUACAAUGGUAUCUACAACAGGAAGCAAGACUGCGAAGUUAAGCAAAUCCCUAAAAGAUACCUCAGUUCGGAUUGCACUCUGCAACUCGAGUGCAUGAAGCUGGAAUUACUAGUAAUCGUGGAUCAGCGUGCCACGGUGAAUGCGUUCCCGGGUCU
rnacentral:rRNA from 1 species